UAGGGAAUAUUGGACAAUGGGGGCAACCCUGAUCCAGCCAUGCCGCGUGAGUGAAGAAGGCCCUCGGGUUGUAAAGCUCUUUUGUCCGGAAAGAAAAGCAUUCGGUGAAUACCCGGAUGUUCUGACGGUACCGGAAGAAUAAGCACCGGCUAACUUCGUGCCAGCAGCCGCGGUAAUACGAAGGGUGCGAGCGUUAUCCGGAUUUACUGGGUUUAAAGGGUGCGUAGGUGGGCUUAUAAGUCAGUGGUGAAAUCUCCGAGCUUAACUUGGAAACUGCCGUUGAUACUAUAGGUCUUGAAUUAUCUGGAGGUAAGCGGAAUAUGUCAUGUAGCGGUGAAAUGCUUAGAUAUGACAUAGAACACUAAUUGCGAAGGCAGCUUACUACAUAUAAAUUGACGCUGAGGCACGAAAGCGUGGGGAUCAAACA
rnacentral:rRNA from 1 species